UUGAUGGUCGCAAAUACCCGUUUACUGUCUUCGCUAACGCGUCGCCAUUAAACUUAAUUUGCGACCAUCAAAUCCCCAAUUGAUGCCGUCGGAGCUUAAAAUACAAUACAGUUAUCUCCUAAAUGUAUCAAAGAGACAGUAACCCAAUGAAAACAUUUAUGAUUUCUCAUUUUUUGUAAGUUUUUCAGUAGAACGUUGCAUCUUCAAUUGAUUCAAUUGUCAUAAACUUCUGUAGAUAUAGAUUAUUGCAUUUAAAAGUGAAGUAUUACUGUGUAUAGAAAAUGAACUUAGAAAUUGGCUGUUUUCUGAAGGUAACUGAUUCAAUUUUGAAUAAAGACGCUUGCUUAGAAUGUAAUAAAAAUUCGUCAAAUAUAAGUCUUAAUAUUUUUUUAGUCUAACGGUAAA
rnacentral:lncRNA from 1 species